rnacentral:snoRNA from 1 species
UGUCGCCGAUGAUGAUGCGCGCCGCCUUUGGUUUCCGAGGCGCGUUGCUCGGGCCGCCGGCAAGAAGCUCUUCGCCUUCGGCGGCGGAGACGAGCAGCGGCUGAGCGGCG